rnacentral:lncRNA from 1 species
GAGUUCUUUUGCUUACCUGGAACAUUCCAGAGGCGCAGGGGCACUACAGAAGCUGGUGGGAGACAUUUAUCCUGUGAGACUAUCUGAGGUGGUUCUUCAAGUGAGCUACAUUCUCAGACUAACCUGUGGAUUACUAUAAAUGAGGGUCUGGACAAAGCAAACUUUAUUCUUGAUCAGGAGGGUGUGCUUAUGAAAAGGGAUUUAACUAGACAGGAACUGCGCUUGGUUUUAUCCUAAGGAAUGUGGUGGCUGUGUCUUUUCCCAAGUAUUUGGGGUUGACCCUCACAAUGUUAUUCAUUAUGUGAGUAUGAAAGACUUGUUGCAUAGGAAAUAAAAGAGGAAGGGGAAGAGAGGCAUUGUUCCAGGGAAAGAAGAAUCAUUGCUCCAGUUCAUCAAACACUUAGAAUUCAGAUGUGGGCCUGGAAAUAAACAAUAUUAUGCUGGUUGAAGAAGGUAUUGAGAUUUUAUACUACUUGAUAGAAAAGAUUCAUAUUUGGUAUUCUCAUAAGCAUCAGUGUAGCUACGUUUGUUGAAACCAAAGAGAAAGUGGGAGCUGCAGAAGAGUAGCAGGCUUUAGUGAUCACCUCCAUGUCCACAGAAAGCUCAAGAGAAAGGGUAGCCUCUGUCUGGGGGAAAGAUCAGCACUUGGAGAGUCAACAACCUAACAGUUUAGGGUUUACUUUAAGUCAGUUUUGUGGGAGUUGUGAAGUCUUUGUGUACUUAAUCUCAUACUCAUAGGCAGUGGGAUAACAUCUGGCAAUAUCACACAUUUCCUGCCUGAGUUUCCUUUGAUCCUUUGUUUAAAAUUUAACCCUAAACCUGAACCCUAACCCUGAUCUCUGAAUCCUGGAAUUCUGACUCCUGAUCCCUGACCCUAACCCUAACAUUGAUUUCCACGGAAUUUAUUUCAAUUCACUGGUCAAGGUUACAGUCUAUAAUUUCAUGGAAGUUACUGAAACGAGAGCUUUAAACAGUUGACCACAUUGCAUUCAUAGUAACAAUGCAUUGACUGAAGAAUUGUUAAACCAGGCUUGCCUAUUCUUAGGUUGGAUUCUUUAUUAUAUACAACUUAGGACACCCUUCCCAGGGAAUGGUCAUACCUACAAUUAAGAUGAUUUUUUCACACAUCUAUUCAUAUACUCAGGAUUAAUCAAGACAGAUAGGCCUAAAGGUCCAUCUUUUGAUACAUUAUUUAAUAAUAACAUAUUAUUAAAUAAAUACAUUAUUUCCCUGCAAUCCAGAGAUUCUCUUUUAUAUUUCCUGUGGUUUAAUUCAGACCCAUAUAAAGUAUAGGCAAAAUGUUUGCUAGAACUUUUAUGAACAGUAGAAAUAGUUGAGAAUAUGGCAAAUUAUCUAUCCCAUUCAAGAAGUUUAUAGAUUAUGCAUCUUUCUUUUAUAGUGAACAGAUUCUGUUUUAUAAACAAAUAUUCACUGUGGCUCAAAGCAGGCCUAUAUAUGCUUGUCAAGGCUGCCCUGAUCAGAUUAGAGAUAAGUGGUCAGAUCAGUCCUCUCUCUGAGCCACAGGAGUUGAACUGUCUUGUCAUUGUUGAUUUGUGCUACAUUUCAGUCCAAUCAUGCUUUCUCCGAGUAAUUGCUAGUUUAAGAAAACCAAACGCUCUUUAAACUUUGCUUAAAACAUGAAAAUCAAUGUAAAAAUGGGGGCUCUGUUACGUAUAUUGAACAGUGAUAAAGAAGAAACACUUUCUAACUCCUUUUGUAAAGAAGACUCACACAUAUUUAUAUAUUUUAGAAAAUAGAUACAUAAGUUUAAAUAUAUCCUGGGAUUAACUUCCUAAAAGAGCUAAUAAAAAAUGUGACAUUUUCAGAUUUAUUAUCCAACUGUAUAAUCUCAUGUAACAGUGGCUCUGAGGAGCUUUUCCUUUUGACCAGGCUAUCAUAUAAUUAAGUCGUUGAUGGGACUUUUAGUUAGUGAAAGUCCCACUCAGGGUGAAGUUGGGGGAGUCUUUCGGCUAAGUGUAGGUUCUUUGUAAUGAGACAAUAUGCCAUACUGAUGCCAAGAAAAUAAAUUUAUUGGACACAGAAAAACACUCAAAAUCAGACAAAGAAGCUAUUUAUUGUAAAAAUAAUAUUAAAACAAAGGCACUGUGCUGUUUAGAUAUUGAAAAAUAAGAAUCAUAUAAUUUCUGACUUCUGGUCAUUCAUAAGGAAGAGCAAUAGAACUGUUCAUCUGAAGAAAGCAUUCACAUUGCAUUUAAGAAUUAUUGUAAUGUGCUCACAUCAUUGUUUAUAUAUCUUUAAAUUUUGUGGAAAAAGUUUGUCAAACCACGAAGUUCAUGAUAAAGAACACUAAUAUGAAUUGUGUAAUAUAUAAACCAAUAGAGUGAAAUACUGUAAAAAGAAAUUAUAGGUGGCCUAAGAUUCUACAACUUAAAUACACAUAUACUUUCUUCUCUAUUAUAUAUACAAUAUACAUAACAUAUAUACUAACAUGAUUAAGAGAAACAACUGAAUAAACUUUAACACAAAUAUUGAGAAAAAUAAUUUAAUGAACUUAAACAAAGACAAAACUAUUCAGAAAGGGAAAUGACUACAUUAGAAUGUAAGUGAUAAAGCCAGCAUGGUCGAGUACAAAAUGGCUUAGGAGGAAUAGACAGGAGCACUGUUGCAAGUUCAAAGCAAACCUAGCCAACAUAGUGAGUUUCAGGCCAGCAAGGACUAUGUAGAAAUGCACUGUUUAAAAAAUGAACUAACACAC